rnacentral:rRNA from 1 species
AGCCCAGAGCCUGAAUCAGUGUGUGUGUUAGUGGAAGCGUCUGGAAAGGCGCGCGAUACAGGGUGACAGCCCCGUACACAAAAAUACACAUACUGUGAGCUCGAUGAGUAGGGCGGGACACGUGGUAUCCUGUCUGAAUAUGGGGGGACCAUCCUCCAAGGCUAAAUACUCCUGACUGACCGAUAGUGAACCAGUACCGUGAGGGAAAGGCGAAAAGAA